GGCUGGACGACUACUCCAGAAGUCGAAAAUCCCCAAACGUUUUUUAAUAUCCCCAAAUGGUUAACUUUUCAUCAAACGCUUAUAAUUAUAUAAAACAAAUAAACGACAUUUUGCUGUUACCCAUCUUUUUCCCGAAGAUUGUGUAAUACUUGUAUUAAUAAACACUCUUAAUAUCCAAGGAGGUAUGAUAUAUUAACACACUCUAAAUCGCGUGCACCAUAUGUCCAUAUCCGUAUGUAAAUACAAAUACUAGUGAUUGUAUACUGGCUUACCCUUUUUAUAUUCCAUUUUGAUCCUGGAUGAAAAUCCUUCUUGUUCAUAAACUUUUGAAACAUGAUGAUUCCUUUGCGAUUUCAAAAUUAUUAAAGGACUAUAAAGACUAUAAAUUUAAUAUAAACAACAACCCGAACAACAAAUUUAGGCAUUUUCAUAGGGCAUACUUCAUGUUACAGAAUUAUAGUUUGCAUAUAUAAUUUGUUUCUUCUAAAAGUAUUUGCCCAACUGGCAAUUUGGUUAUUUACAUAUACCACAUUUACCAAGGCAGAAGAUUCCGGCAAUUGAUAAAACUAGAAUAGUGAAGCGAAUAGUGCGAAU